CCAGAGCCCACUUACUCUGCAAUAAAAUCCUUUGCCCUGCAGGAGUUGUUGGAGCCACAUUAAUAGCUCCGGGCACGUGAAGGGAUGCAAGUGUGAAACAGAUGCAAGCCUCUUUCAAAUUAUGUUGCCAGUAUAAAACCCAGGAAUACACAGCUCUGCAGGAGCAGGAAGAGGGCUCGCAAUGGAGUAUCUGUUAACAGGCUGUCUCCAAAGCCUCUGAGGAAGUCCAUACUGUUGUUUGUACAGUGAGCCAGGCUUUGCUCACCAGCACUCAUGAGGUUAAUAUGCAACCCCAGGUGGAUCAGGCUCGAACAGCCUCAGCCUCCAGUGAUGAAGGAAUCCUCCAGCAAACCCUGUAAGAGAAUAUGAGGGGAAAACCUCUUUGCCUACAGAAGCUGAGCCUCAUAAUGAACAGCUGUUUAACUGCGAUCUCUCCUUUCCCUCUGUUCUUCAAUCAAACUCCAAUGGAAAUCUAGGUGUUCAGCUCAUGUGCUUAUUAAACAUGGACCACGUAUUGUUAUGUAAGUUACUUUGGUGAAGAUGUAUUUCCUGGUCACACCUUGCUCCUCCAUUCUAUCCCAGUUCUGAAAUUGUUUUCCAUAUAUGUUUUCAGAGAGACAUGAUUACCAUUUCAGAAAUACGUAUCUGACUUAAGAGCUCACAAAAGUAAACAUUUAUUUAAUACCAAAAAAAUCUAAGGUCCUCCUGGGUGUAACUUGCAGAGCCAAGGCCUAAAUCUGUUUGUGUGAGUUGAACCUCAAAGCAGCUUGAGUCAGACUUCCACAAUCCUUAAAGAGUGAGCUGAAACUGGACCUUUGCUGUAUAUUGGAAGUACUAAGGAAGCAGGCACUUUAGGGAACUGACUCCACUUUUGAAAGGCUUAUAGCUGUGUACAGAACCUAUACAUUUGCUUUAAUGCUGGGAAUUAAAAUAAUAA
rnacentral:lncRNA from 12 species